AUGCAAGUCGAACGCACAGCGAAAGGUGCUUGCACCUUUCAAGUGAGUGGCGAACGGGUGAGUAACACGUGGACAACCUGCCUCAAGGCUGGGGAUAACAUUUGGAAACAGAUGCUAAUACCGAAUGAAACUUAGUGUCGCAUGAUACGAAGUUAAAAGGCGCUUUGGCGUCACCUAGAGAUGGAUCCGCGGUGCAUUAGUUAGUUGGUGGGGUAAAGGCCUACCAAGACAAUGAUGCAUAGCCGAGUUGAGAGACUGAUCGGCCACAUUGGGACUGAGACACGGCCCAAACUCCUACGGGAGGCUGCAGUAGGGAAUCUUCCACAAUGGGCGAAAGCCUGAUGGAGCAACGCCGCGUGUGUGAUGAAGGCUUUCGGGUCGUAAAGCACUGUUGUAUGGGAAGAACAGCUAGAAUAGGGAAUGAUUUUAGUUUGACGGUACCAUACCAGAAAGGGACGGCUAAAUACGUGCCAGCAGCCGCGGUAAUACGUAUGUCCCGAGCGUUAUCCGGAUUUAUUGGGCGUAAAGCGAGCGCAGACGGUUGAUUAAGUCUGAUGUGAAAGCCCGGAGCUCAACUCCGGAAUGGCAUUGGAAACUGGUUAACUUGAGUGCAGUAGAGGUAAGUGGAACUCC
rnacentral:rRNA from 1 species